GAUGAACGCUAGCGGCAGGCCUAACACAUGCAAGUCGAGGGGCAUCACGGAUUGCUUGCAAUCUGGUGGCGACCGGCGCACGGUGCGUAACGCGUAUACAACUACCUUUUGGAGGGAAUAGCCCAGAGAAAUUUGGAUUAAUACCCCAUAGUAUAUAGGAAUCUCCUGAUUUUUAUAUUUAAACAUUUAUGGCCAUUAGAUGGGUAUGCGUCCUAUUAGCUAGUUGGUGUGGUAACGGCACACCAAGGCUACGAUAGGUAGGGGUCCUGAGAGGGAGAUCCCCACACUGGUACUGAGACACGGACCAGACUCCUACGGGAGGCAGCAGUGAGGAAUAUUGGACAAUGGGCGAGAGCCUGAUCCAGCCAUGCCGCGUGCAGGAAGACUGCCCUAUGGGUUGUAAACUGCUUUUACAGAGGAAGAACCACCCCCACGUGUGGGGGUUUGACGGUACUCUGCGAAUAAGGAUCGGCUAACUCCGUG
rnacentral:rRNA from 1 species